rnacentral:rRNA from 1 species
GACGUAGGGCGCGAGCGUUGUCCGGAUUUAUUGGGCGUAAAGAGCUCGUAGGCGGCUUGUUGCGUCGUCCGUGAAAACCUGGGGCUCAACCCCAGGCUUGCGGUCGAUACGGGCAGGCCAGAGUUCGGUAGGGGAGACUGGAAUUCCUGGUGUAGCGGUGAAAUGCGCAGAUAUCAGGAGGAACACCGGUGGCGAAGGCGGGUCUCUGGGCCGAUACUGACGCUGAGGAGCGAAAGCGUGGGGAGCGAACAGG